rnacentral:rRNA from 1 species
GACGAACGCUGGCGGCGUGCUUAACACAUGCAAGUCGAACGGAAAGGCCCUGCUUUUGUGGGGUGCUCGAGUGGCGAACGGGUGAGUAACACGUGAGUAACCUGCCCUUGACUUUGGGAUAACUUCAGGAAACUGGGGCUAAUACCGGAUAGGAGCUCCUGCUGCAUGGUGGGGGUUGGAAAGUUUCGGCGGUUGGGGAUGGACUCGCGGCUUAUCAGCUUGUUGGUGGGGUAGUGGCUUACCAAGGCUUUGACGGGUAGCCGGCCUGAGAGGGUGACCGGCCACAGUGGGACUGAGAUACGGCCCAGACUCCUACGGGAGGCAGCAGUGGGGAAUAUUGCACAAUGGGCGGAAGCCUGAUGCAGCAACGCCGUGUGCGGGAUGACGGCCUUCGGAUUGUAAACCGCUUUCGCUCAUGACGAAGCUUUGUGUGACGGUAGUGGGUAAAGAAGCACCGGCUAACUACGUG